UCCUUCUGUCGGGUUGGCGACCCAUCCCAGCUCCCCCUGUACGGCCCUGGAGUCCAAUAACGUGACUGGAAAACAAGAAUAGGAGACGUUCAAGCAUGUCGGCCGUCUCUCCCAUGAGAAGGGCACGUUGCUGUCGUUGGCAGGCAACCUCUCAAUGAUCUGCAGAGGAGAUUGCCUCUGUGUGGGCAGGUCAGGGCGUUCCGCAUCAGCACACACAGCUGCCGUCUUUGCAGAGGAAAAGCAUCCCCACACCAUGAUGCUGCCAACACCUUGUUUCUCCUUGGGAAUGGGGCAUAUUUGUCGACUGAUCACUUUACAGUUGUCCGGUAAACAGAUUCUUCCCCUUCAACUGUGUGUCUGCAGCUCCUCCAGAGCUACAGCGAUCAUCUUGAUUGCUGCUGCCAUUCAUUUUAUGCUUGCCCAGAUGUCAACUUUGGUUGAUAUCCAUGUCUUUGUAGGUUUGUAGUUGUGUGUGAGGUGUUCAAAGUUUGGAUAUUGUUUUACAACAUGUUUUAAACUUUUCUACAAGUUCACCCUGA